rnacentral:rRNA from 1 species
GGAAUCUUCCACAAUGGGCGCAAGCCUGAUGGAGCAACACCGCGUGAGUGAAGAAGGGUUUCGGCUCGUAAAGCUCUGUUGUUAGAGAAGAACGUGCGUGAGAGCAACUGUUCACGCAGUGACGGUAUCUAACCAGAAAGUCACGGCUAACUACGUGCUAG